UGCGAAGCCCAAUUCACACCCGCACAAACCCUCCAACCUUUCUUCUUCUUCAUCUCUGGUUCUCUUUAACUCUUAAUCACCAUUGCCAACCUUAACCUUCAUCCCACCAGUCCAGCACCACCGUCGACCUCCACAGCCAAUAUCAACCCCCUCUUCUCCUUCCCUUCUCCUGUUUCUUCUUUUUCUUUCUCUUCUCUUUCUCUUCUCUCCUUCCCCUUUCACUGCCCCUGCUUCACCCUGCCGACGCCGCCUCCCUUGGCCAGCCAUCAUCACAGUAGCUCUGUAGUGCCAUCAUAAUUGUCCAUGCUACUCCUUCUUCCACUCACUCUCACUGCCUCUCUCACAGUCUCGCAUAACUCUACUCCAUUUCUCUCCGUCUCUGAGACAGUCAGAGCAGGGUGAUGGCAGUAAUUGCCAGGCCUGGGAGUUCAUGGAUCUAUGGAGCAGACAAGAUGGCUCCCAGGGCUAUCUCAGUCCACACUUUGACCAUUGAGACUUGGAUUUGGCAGCAGAUCUUAGCCAAUCACGUGAUGCUAAGCACCGAUGAGACCUACAUUAUUACUAACAUGGCAGUCUUGAUUUGGUGUGUCCUGGAAGGUAAGCAGCUGUACCUUUCAAGGCUCAUCAGAAAGCACAUAGGGCGGGAUCACUACAUGGGCAACUUGGCCUUCCUGUGUUUGAUUACUGAGCUAGCUAUGGAGGCUGGAGUUGUCUGGCUGGCCACUGAUGAGAGAUUGACUGUCGCAGGAAGGAAGAGGUGAUACCACAUGGUGACUGGUACGGGCCUUAGCCGACAUCCAGACGCAGAGGCAGACGUUGGGCGGCAUCUGCUUCAGAGGUAAGUCCCUCAGCAUCAAUAGCACCAGCAGAGUUGCCAUCAGCCCCAACAGCACCAUCAUCAUCAUCACAGCCACCGCUCUAUCGUCUAGUCCACUGGCUCGUUAAGGACAUAGCUCGUUUGGAGCGUCACUCCAAGUGAUGAUAUGAGAACAUCAAGAGAUAGAACCGGGCUUGGGACUAGAGGAUAGAGGAGUUGGAUACCCCCCUCAGAGCACAACGAGGAGGAGAAGCAGGUUCCACCGGAUGAAGGUGGAGAUUUCGAUGACUACGUCUACUCCAUAUGAUUUCAUGAGCACCGAGGACAAUGUUGGAUUUUAUGUGUGGAGACAUCAUCCAACUAAAUCGGCGAAUUUUGGUGAUAUCUAUUCUAUUCCAAACACUUUAUUUUUAGUUUUUAUUAUGCUUUUUAGAUAUUUUGUUAGCAUUUUGAUAUUUUAUAUAUGUUUUAGUUUAUUGCCCAUUUAUUAGUUUGGGUUCUCCAUAACUAGUAUCUUUAUAGUUUGUUGCACUUUUAUUUUGGCUUGUAUAUAUGUCUUUAGUCUUUAGUUGUUGGUUAUGAUUAGAUAAUGUGAUAAUUGCACCUAAUUUAGUUUUCUAUAUGCAUUUGACGAUUUUGUUUGAUUGAGAAUAGGAAAUGAACUUAGGCAUUUUGAUGAUUUUUCAUCCAAUCAUAUUAGAGUUUAUCUUUUUCAUUGAACUUGCUUGAACUAUAUUGUGGAACAUAGUUUUAGAGCUAAAACACACAACGUUAUGAGUUUUUUAGCCUUAAUGUGUGGUUACAUCAUAUUAAUUACUAUUUUUAUUUUUUUGUGUUAUGCUCUUUUUAUAAUUGUAAUCUUUGAUUUGUUUGAUUCUUUAUGUCCAUUAUUUAGUAUAUGAAUACAUUUAUGUGAUUGAGACCGUUAUUCCGUUGUAGCUCACUUACCCAUAUAGCCUUAUCAUUUCAUCUACUUUUGUUAGCCAACUUUGAGCCUUAUUAAUUUCCUUUUGUUCUUAAUUUCAUCACAUUAUUAAGCUUAAGUGAAAAAUAAUAAAUAUUCUUCAUUUGGAUCUUUGAUUAGCUUAGGCUAGUGAGAGUGUGUAAUAUCUAAGUGUGAGAAAAUUUGUGAACAUUGGUUGAUGAAAGUUUUGUAUUUUUAUUGAAAAUAUUAAAAAUUAGGUACAUACUCAUGUAUUAAUUGUGUAAACCAUAUGCAUUGACACUUGUUGUAUAUAUUUCACUUAAAAAAAGAAAAGAAAAGAAAGAAAAAGAAUAAAAGGGGGACAAAAAUUUCCUAAAAAAAGGUAAUAAUAACAAUACAUAUGUGUUGUGAUUGAAAAGAAUGCAUGAGUGUGUGGAAGAAAAAGUGAAUAAUGGGUAGCUAGGCUUUGCAUUAGAGUUGAGUAAGUCUUUAUAUGAUUAGGUGAGAGUUUAAGUUAAUCAAAUAUUCAAAUUUCAAGCUCACUUGACCAUAUGCAUCUUUACCUUUACCCUAACCCCGUUACAGUCUUUGGAAAAGUCCUCAUGAUACCUGUAUGCAUAAAUUGAAUAAUUGUUGAUUAUUAGAUGAAAAAUAAGUCUUAAAAAGCAAGAUUAGAAGAGAAUUGAAUGAAUGAACCCUAUACACUUAAGUAAUUAGAGAGUAUACACAUCUGGUGAGGGUUUCGAUUGCUCAAUUCUAUGUUUUCACCUAGUAUUAUAUCUUAUCUUGCAAGUUGUAAAUUCUUUUCAAUGACUCUAAUCAGUUGUUGGAUUUGAAUUGGUUGCUAUUGUCAUUAGCCCUUGAGUAUUUACAUGCUUUCUUGGAAAUUGACUUAUUUUGACCAGUAGAUAGAAGUAAAUGAAGCUGAUAGAGGUAGGUAGUAUUAGGUAGGCUCAUUGCAUGAAUUAGAUAGAUUGUAUUUAGAUAGCUUGCAUCGAAUAAAUGCUGAUACCCUUUUCUUGUCUUUCUUGAUGUUUAGUAUGAGGACAUGCUAUUAUUUAAGUGUUCGGAGAUUGAUAUUUUAUGGUAAAUUUUGGAUUGAAAUGAGUAGAUUUUAUCAACUUAUCUUGCAUUUAUUUACUGAAAUAGCAUGAUUUUGUGAAUUUUUUCUAAUUGUGUUUAAUGAUUAAAAACAUGUUUUUUCUGCCUUUAAAUUGCUAAAUUCAAUUUACCAUGAUUUUAUUCGAUGCCUUGAUAUGUUUGUUAAGUAAUCUCAGGUUAAGAAGGUAAAGAUUGGAUUGAAAAAAUGAGGAAAAAGCGUGCAAAGUGGAGAAUUCAUGAAGAAAUGGAGUUUUUGAGCAUUUCGCCUAGCUUGCGCGUACGCAUGCCUUAUGCAUAUGCAUGACUAACAGCACAUGAUUCACUUAAGAAAACACGUGUCUGGCGAUUUCAGGGCCUUUUCAAGUGUAAUUCCAACUCAUUUAUGAAGUAUUUCAAGCCAAACUCAAGGAGAAUCAAGGGGGAGCAAUUAGGAUAGUUUUAUGUCAUGUUUUAGGUUAGAAUUCUAAAGAGAAAAGCUCUCUCUACUCUCUAGAAAUUAGGAUUUUAGAUUUAGUUUUUUCCCUUAGUUUAGGUUUUAAUUCUUGAUCUAGUUUAAUUCUCCUCAUAGUUUCUUAUUUUAGUGUCUUAAUUUUCUUAGUUUUAUUUGUUUAUUUCUCUAUUUUAUUACUUUCAUGUUUAUGAACUAUUGUUGAAUUUUUAUUUUCUUUAAUAUAAUUUAUGUUUUCAUGCU